CCUUCGAAGGCCGCGGCUCACCACCACGCGCUGGCCGCGGGCGAAGGCUGGGGCCGGGGCCUCGCGUGGUGAUGAGAGCCCGCCUGCUUGUCGGCGCAGUCGGCCCAGCGAUCCCGAAAUCGGGACUGCACCGGGUCUGAAGUCUUGGGAACAUGAGUUCCAGAUCCUCCCUGUGUGUAACAGCUAGUUCUCCACAGGCUUGGAAAGUAAGACUAGGGAGAGAGGCGCCAUUACAAAGACCGUUCCUGAGGCGUGAAGAUGUAAACCAGAUGAGAAGUCAAGCCAGGUUCUUUUCAUAAUUGGCUAAUUUUGCCAUGUUAUUUUUCAAAGCUACGAUUUUACUUGUCUCCUUUAAUCCCUGCCAUACGGUUGCCUGUAAUAACUUUAAAAAAGAGAAAUGCACUUACAGGAACACUUAACCAAGAUACUGCCUGCCACAACUGCUCUGAAGACUGAAAAACCUGGCUGGCACAUUUUCACUCAAAGGAAACAUUUACAUGAGAAGCUAAACUAGGAAGGAUUUCCAAUGAGUACGGAAUCAACCCGCAUGAAGAUACAGCAAGAAUUCUUCUGUCUACAAGCCAGGAAGCAGGUUCUCACCAGGCACUGAACCUGCCACAACUUGAUCUUGGACUUCCCAGCCUCCAAACUGCGGGAAACAAAUGUU